AGAGUUUGAUCAUGGCUCAGGACGAACGCUGGCGGCGUGCUUAACACAUGCAAGUCGAGCGGUAAGGCCCCUUCGGGGGUACACGAGCGGCGAACGGGUGAGUAACACGUGAGCAAUCUGCCCAUCACAUCGGGAUAACUCCGGGAAACCGAAGCUAAUACCGAAUACGACCACUCCCGGCAUCGGGUAGUGGUGGAAAGUUCCGGCGGUGAUGGAUGACCUCGCGGCCUAUCAGCUUGUUGGUGGGGUAAUGGCCCACCAAGGCAACGACGGGUAGCCGGCCUGAGAGGGUGACCGGCCACACUGGGACUGAGACACGGCCCAGACUCCUACGGGAGGCAGCAGUGGGGAAUAUUGGACAAUGGGCGAAAGCCUGAUCCAGCAACGCCGCGUGAGGGAUGACGGCCUUCGGGUUGUAAACCUCUUUCAGCAGGGACGAAGCGCAAGUGACGGUACCUGCAGAAGAAGCACCGGCCAACUACGUGCCAGCAGCCGCGGUAAUACGUAGGGUGCGAGCGUUGUCCGGAAUUAUUGGGCGUAAAGGGCUCGUAGGCGGUUUGUCACGUCGGGAGUGAAAACUCAGGGCUUAACCCUGAGCCUGCUUCCGAUACGGGCAGACUAGAGGUAUGCAGGGGAGAACGGAAUUCCUGGUGUAGCGGUGAAAUGCGCAGAUAUCAGGAGGAACACCGGUGGCGAAGGCGGUUCUCUGGGCAUUACCUGACGCUGAGGAGCGAAAGUGUGGGGAGCGAACAGGAUUAGAUACCCUGGUAGUCCACACCGUAAACGUUGGGCGCUAGGUGUGGGGCUCAUUCCACGAGUUCCGUGCCGCAGCUAACGCAUUAAGCGCCCCGCCUGGGGAGUACGGCCGCAAGGCUAAAACUCAAGG
rnacentral:rRNA from 1 species